rnacentral:lncRNA from 1 species
AAACUCUCAAAAUAUAUUUUUGAUUAAAAUCAAAAUUAUAACCUUUCAAAGUUACAAAAUGAAAAAUAUUUGUAAACUAUCCUAAGUAGACAAAUGGUCAAAUUCGGCCAUAAAUGUUGUACAUGAAUCAAGUUGUACAUGAAUGUAAAUUCCUACGUUCCAUGUAUGACCGAAUGGUCAUGUUCAUCUUCUCUUGCGGUGCAUUCCCCAUUGACAACUUCUUGGUGUUCAUGAAUGAAUGAAAGGUCAAACAUCUCCCUUGGACGUGCAUUGUAACACCCCAUACCCGGCCUGGAUGCCGGGGUGAAUAUCGAGAUGCCGCACCAUCGUCUCAUGUCACCCCAUACCCGGC